GAUGAACGCUAGCUACAGGCUUAACACAUGCAAGUCGAGGGCAGCGCAGUGUAGCAAUACAUGGGCGGCGACCGGCGCGACGGGUGCGUAACGCGUAUCCAACCUUCCCGUUACUCAGGGAUAGCCUUCCGAAAGGGAGAUUAAUACCUGAUGGUGUUCAAAUUCCGCAUGUUAUUUGAACUAAAGAUUUAUCGGUAACGGAUGGGGAUGCGUGACAUUAGAUAGUAGGCGGGGUAACGGCCCACCUAGUCUACGAUGUCUAGGGGUUCUGAGAGGAAGGUCCCCCACACUGGAACUGAGACACGGUCCAGACUCCUACGGGAGGCAGCAGUGAGGAAUAUUGGUCAAUGGUCGGAAGACUGAACCAGCCAAGUAGCGUGAAGGAUGAAGGUUCUAUGGAUUGUAAACUUCUUUAUACGGGAAUAAAACCUCCCACGUGUGGGAGCUUGUAUGUACCGUAUGAAUAAGCAUCGGCUAACUCCGUG
rnacentral:rRNA from 1 species